rnacentral:lncRNA from 1 species
CCAGGGGGCAGGAAGGAGGCCAGAUACCGGGCUCGAUGGGCCCAGGGGGCUGAUCCAGGGGGCAGGAAGGAGGCCAGAUACCGGGCUCGAUGGGCCCAGGGGGCUGAUCCAGGGGGCAGGAAGGAGGCCAGAUACCGGGCUCGAUGGGCCCAGGGGGCUGAUCCAGGGGGCAGGGAGGAGGCGAGACACCAGGCUUUAUGGGAUCAUGGGGCUGAAGUCAGGAGGUAGGAAGGGGGCAGGAUUCUGGGAUAGAUAGCCCCAUGGGGCUGAUCCAGGGGGCAGGAAGGAGGCCAGAUACCGGGGUAGAUGGGCCCAUGGGGCAGAACGCAGGGGGGCAGGGAGGGAGCAGGAUGUUGGGAUAGGUGGGCCCAUGGGGCUGAUUCCAGGAGUUCCCCAGAGAUGGGCCCCUCCCCAAGGCCUGUGGAACUCCCUGCUACUGUCUUCACCUGCCUUUGGCAUGGCUCUUUCCCCCCAGGGGGCAUGUCUGUGACUCUGAUCCAAAGGGGGUGCAGAGCUGGACACCCCAAGGGAGGGACCGAACCCCCCGCUGCGCCCAGCAGAUUCCUCCACAUCCAAGUCGAUGUCCACUACUGCCAGUCGGACCAGUGCAAUGCCAUGGGACUGGGGCUGGGGAGCCCCAGCCAGGGCACAGGUAACGGGAAUGGGGAAUGAGACACAGGGCCUGUCCCCUGUAGGGGGCGCCAGCUCCCAUCAGGCCCCAUUGCGGGAAUGGCUGGCUCGGGGGGGUGGACAAUGGGGCAGGGGUCUGUCCCCUCUAGGGGGCGCCGGCUCCCAUCUGCCCCAUUGCGGGAAUGGCUGGCUCGGGGGGGUGGGCAAUGGGGCAGGGGUCUGUCCCCUCUAGGGGGUGCCGGCUCCCAUCUGCCCCAUUGCGGGAAUGGCUGGCUCAGGGGGGCAGGGAAGGGGGCAGGGGCCUGUCCCCUCUAGGGGGCGCCGGUUCUGAUCCGUUUCUCGUUGCAGCUCCGGCCCCGAGCGGCCCCACCCAGUGCUACGCUGGCCUGAGCCUCAGCCCCCAGCCCCACACUCUGGAGCAGGUGACGUGUGACGGUGACAACGCCCGCUGUUACCACGGCAACGGCACCCUCACAGCAGGGAAGCUCGUGGUGCCCAUCUUCGUGUGGAGCUGCCAGGCCCCAUCCUGCGCCGUGCCCCCCAUCCGCCACGUCGGUCCCCUGCAGCUCAGCCAGGCCGGCGCCUGCUGCACCGGCAGCUACUGCAACGGGCAGAGAGCCCUGGCCCAGGUCUCCGUCCACCACAAAAUCUCCUCCGUUCCCGUCAGCUACAAUCCUCUCGCCUACGCCAUGGCCAGGAAAGACCACAAGCAGCCCGGGCGCAGCCACGGCACGGCGCCCACGGAGCCGCGUGACCCAGACGACCACACGGAGACAGACUAUCCGGACAGAGACGUCACCAGCUCCUACGACCGCACGGAGACAGACUAUCCGGACCGAGACGUCAACGGCUACAACAGCACGGAGCUACCCAACCCCCGCUACAAGGGGGACCUGCCCCCCAGCACCCGCCCCCGCUCCCACCCCACCGAGCCUGGCAAGAAAAUCGGCUACCCCAAAUCCACCGUCCGCCCCCCCCACAAGCAACCCAAUCCCGGGGCCCACGGCUCCCAGGCACCCGGCCUACACCUCUGCCCUCUGCUGGUGGUGCUGGGAAUAGCCUGCCUGGGGCUGUGAUGGGGGGCUGGGGGCCAGGACGCCUGAGUUCUAUCCCCAGCUCUGGGAGAGGAGUGGGGUCUAGUGGGUUGGAGCAGGGGACUGGGAGUCAGGACUCCUGGGUUCUCUCCUCAGUUCUUAGUAGCUAUGAGGAAGUCACUCCCCCUCCCCACCACAUUACAUGCCUCAGUUUCCCCACAUUUAAAGGGAGGGCUCCCAAUGAUGGGGGGGUCGUGCCCCAUUUUCCUGAAUUGCUGCUGCUGCUUUCAGUCCACAUUAACCCUUUGUGGGGCCCCCUGUCCUGCGCUUCCCCCACACACACACACACAAACCCCCUAUCCUGUUUUUAAUAAAGUCUCUUACUCACAAACCCUUGCA